CCAACCAACCCAUAACAGGGGGGAUGACCCGGAGAAAUCCGGACUAAUACCGCAUAAGACCACGAUAUCGCAUGAUAUAGAGGUCAAAUAUUUAUAGGUUAUGGACGGCAUGCGUCUGAUUAGCUGGUGGCGGGUAACGCCACCAAGGCAUCGAUCAGUAGGGGUUCUGAGAGGAAGGUCCCCCACAUUGGAACUGAGACACGGUCCAAACUCCUACGGGAGGCAGCAGUGAGGAAUAUUGGUCAAUGGGCGAAAGCCUGAACCAGCCAUGUCGCGUGGAAAAGGAUGAAGGUCCUAUGGAUUGUAAACUUCUUUGCAGGAGGGUAAAGUGAGCUACGUGUAGUUCAUUGCAACGUACCCUGCGAAUAAGCAUCGGCUAACUCCGUGCCAGCCGCCGC
rnacentral:rRNA from 1 species